rnacentral:rRNA from 1 species
UACGUAGGGCGCAAGCGUUAUCCGGAAUUAUUGGGCGUAAAGAGCUCGUAGGCGGUUUGUCGCGUCUGCCGUGAAAGUCCGGGGCUCAACUCCGGAUCUGCGGUGGGUACGGGCAGACUAGAGUGAUGUAGGGGAGACUGGAAUUCCUGGUGUAGCGGUGAAAUGCGCAGAUAUCAGGAGGAACACCGAUGGCGAAGGCAGGUCUCUGGGCAUUAACUGACGCUGAGGAGCGGAAAGCAUGGG